UUUCUUUCUUUUUUAUUUUACUUUUCUCUUUUUUAUCUUUAUUUCCUAAUUUAUCCCUGGUCCCUUUCUCUCUUCUCCCAGCUUCCUAUCCUUCAUCGUCUCUCUCUCCAUCACCUCCCUUUGUCUCUUUACCACUGCCACAAAUGGCAUUCCACCACAGUCAAAGCCAUUUCUUCCCCAAGCCUUAGAAAGGUGUUAUUCACUUAUUCCACAACAAGUUCAUGUCUUGCAAAGAGUAACUUUAUGUCCAUAUAUACGAAGAUUGUAUAAAGAUGUUGGAAAACACAACAUUCAAACUCUAUUUUUUCGUAAGAUUUCAAUGCAAAAACAAAGCACAAAAGAAUAAAUAUAAAUUUAUGAAAAAUAAUGUUCAAAUUUGAGAAUCUAGUACAAAAAUCAACAAACAAAAUCCAAAAUGUGAACCACCGGGAAACCCCAUUCACCAACCAGAUCCAAGCAUGAUUGAAACCAUAUCACCAUUGUGAACCAAAACAAAACUCACCCUGAACCUAGUAAAUCCCAUUGCGAAUCGUGAAAGAGACCACAAAUCACCGCUAAUGGCCUCGUUAAAACGUUGAAACUUCUGUCGAUUGCAUCGUACAUUGCAACCACUAAAGCCAAAAAUGAAGUGUUAUCCAAGAUCGUUCUCCUUCAUAGCGACAAUGCUUCCUUCUUGUGAUGCGGAUGUAAAGGAGGUGUGUAACAUCGACCAUCAGAACAGAGGAGUCUACUCAUAUAUCUAUUUCAAUUGAAGCCCAAUAUUGGGAAAAGAGAUAUACAAUUGGGCUUCUUUAGAUCUAUGAUAAGGCUUCCUUCAUAUUUGCGAGAUGAUGGCUAGAGAAAGAUGUUAGGUGGUCAACCACCGGGGAAGAAGGUGGAGAUGAAGUGGUCGGGUCUCUGAGGGAAGAGUGAUCAACUUAGAAGGAGCUCAGAACAAAAUUGGGAAAAGGGAGAAAAGAAAGAAACAAGAAAAAGUAGAAAGGAAAUAAUUUUGAUUUGUAGAUCUCAAGUUAAAAAAAUCUAAUUAUGUAAAAUAACUUUCGUACCGUGCAAAAAAUAUUUUACUUUUACAUAAUAGAAUCCGUCUUUACUGAUAUCUUGAACUCAAAU
rnacentral:lncRNA from 1 species